rnacentral:tRNA from 2 species
GGGGCCGUGAUCGAGAGGUACGAUGCUGGAUUCGGGAUUCAGUAUUCGCGGGUUCAAGUCCCGCCGGCCCCA